rnacentral:rRNA from 1 species
UACAGAGGCCUCGAGCGUUGUUCGGAAUUACUGGGCGUAAAGGGAAUGUAGGUGGUGACGUAAGUCAGAUGUGAAAGCCCUGGGCUUAACCCGGGAAGUGCAUUUGAUACUGCGUCGCUCGAGUACGAGAGAGGAAAGCGGAAUUUCCAGUGUAGGAGUGAAAUCCGUAGAUAUUGGAAGGAAUACCGAUGGCGAAGGCAGCUUUCUGGCUCGUAACUGACACUGAGAUUCGAAAGCGUGGGUAGCGAACAGG